AAAAUUUAAAAUUGAAAUACUAAAAUAGUAAAUAAUUAUUUAUUGAAACUUAAAUAAUUUGGCGGUAUUUUAGUUCAUUUAGAGGAAUCUGUUUAAUAAUUGAUAUUCCACGAUUGAAUUUACUUAAUUUAUAAUUUUGUAUAUCGUUGUUAAAAAAAUAUUUUUUAAUAAAAUUAAUAUUUUAAAAUUAUAAUAUAAAAUUAAAUCAGAUCAAGAUGCAGAUUAUAAUUAAGAAUAUAAUGGAUUACAAUAAAUUUAUUUAAAUGAAUAUUAAUUUGUAAAAAUUAAUUGAAAGUGGAUUUAAAUGUAAUUUUAUUUAAUUUAAUAAAAUGAUUAAAAAUUAAAAUAUGU
rnacentral:rRNA from 1 species